rnacentral:tRNA from 1 species
UGGCCCGUGGUGUAACGGUAGCACCUCAGGUUUUGGUCCUGAUGGUCCUAGUUCGAAUCUAGGCGGGCCAG